rnacentral:rRNA from 1 species
UACGUAGGGUGCAAGCGUUAAUCGGAAUUACUGGGCGUAAAGCGUGCGCAGGCGGCUUUGCAAGACAGAUGUGAAAUCCCCGGGCUUAACCUGGGAACUGCAUUUGUGACUGCAUGGCUAGAGUGCGGCAGAGGGGGAUGGAAUUCCGCGUGUAGCAGUGAAAUGCGUUGAUAUCAACCAGAACACCAGUGGCGAAGGCGAUCUGCUGGGCCGGUACUGACACUGAGGCACGAAAGCGUGGGUAGCGAACGGG